CUGCAUUUCUAACACUCUCCCAGAUGGUGCCAAUGUUCCUCAUCCACAGACCACAGCUGAAGUAGCAACUAUGUAAACCUCAGGCUACUCAUCACAGUGCAGAGUGAUUUCACCUAAAGGCACAACAGCAGCUGAUUGCCACAAUACAAACAAGAGCCGCCACUUACUGACAGCAGCUACGUGCCAGGUAAGUCAAAUGAGGAAGAACACCUUCAGUGUGGGGGAGAAAUGGGUCUUCAACGUCAUCUUAGACCAGUGGCUCUCAAAGUAUAUAACAGCAGCGUCAACAUCAGCAUUAUCUGGGAACGUGUUGGAGAUGUGAAUUCUUGGGUUCCACUUCAGACAACGAAUCAGAAAUUCUGGGAUCGCCCUUGGAAAAAUUGUACUGGUACCUGCUUAUGAGGCUCCCAGUGGUACAGAAGACAGCUGUCUGCUCACCAAGAAGAGGACCCUCAUCAGACACUGGAUCUACUGGCAUCUUGAUCUUGGAUUUUCUAGCCUCUUUAACUGUGAGAAAUAAAAUGUUUAAG
rnacentral:lncRNA from 1 species